AUGAUCUAUGCUUCGAUAAAAAAGAAAACAGUUAAAGAAAUUCUUGACAACGGACUAGAUAAUGUCCAGUUUAGAAGAACUUUAUUAGGAUAUGCAAGAGAAUUGUGGGGGCAUGUUAAAGAGGCCUGUAGUGUGGUGAUAUUGAAUGAAGAUAGAGAUGAGAUAAAAUGGACCCUCAAUAAAAAGGGAGUCUAUACUGUUAAGUCCUUUUAUAGACACCUGAUUGAAAAUGGUGUCAAAUAUCCACAUUUAAAUAUGUGGAAGAUCAAGAUGCCACCUAGAAUCAAGGUUUUCAUGUGGUUAACCCUUAGGAAAAGUGUUCUCACAAAAGAUAAUUUGAUUCGUAGGGUGUGGAAGGGAGAUGAUAAAUGCCCUUUUUGUGGGCAAAAAAAGAACAUAAAUCAUCUUUUUCUGACUUGUUCGGUUGCUAGAUUGUUGUGGAACAUUUUAAAGUGUGCUUUCAAUCUUAGAGAUAUUCCAGAUACGUUAGAUGCUGUUAUGAAACCUUGGGUAAAUACUUUUGGUAAAGAUGAAAAAAGUCUGGUCAUGAUUGGAGUAUUGGCGAUUUGUUGGACUAUUUGGAAACUCAGAAAUAGUGUGAUAUUUGACAACAAUAGGCUGAAUGAUCUCCGUGUUCCUGUUACUCUGUUUCUUAAAAACCUUAAUGAUUGGAAUAUUUUGCAGACAAAUCCCGCAAGAAGUAAGCUGAUGGAGGCUGGAGUGAAGCUAGUGAGUGAGGUGGCAGAAGAAAUCUUCAAAUCAGCUUAUGGGUGGCGCCUGAAGACUGGGAGGAUCGAAGGGUGA
rnacentral:rRNA from 1 species